CUCAGGUAUCCUGGGCCAGAUAUAUGGAGGGCUUGGAAUAUCAGGAACAAGGGUGAAAUCCUGGCCCACUGAAGUCAAUGGGAAUUUUGCCUUGGGUUCAGUGAAGCUGACCGAGCUGGAUGAGCAAGCAUCUCAGAGAGGGCCCUGCCAAGAAGAGAUGCAGGACAAUAGUGCCAGCAGCCUGCAGUCACAACUCCUGUUGGCAAGGAUGUUAGUGGAAGAUGCAAAGGCACCUUUGAUUAAGGUGGAGCUGCAGGACCGAUGAGAGCGGGGGGAAGCCAGUACAAAUGACCGGGGCCCGGCGGUCCGGAAGGCAGCCCAGGGCCUGGCUUCGUCGGCCCUGUUUAGUCGGUACGCCCUUCCUGGGGGGCCCGAACCUGCUCUCGGCAGCCCUGUGGAGCUGGGGUGCUUCUUCACUUCUUCCUGAGCCCAAAAUAAACAGAUCUACCAAAGGCCACAUCAAAAGAAAAGGAGCCAGAAAAAUGGAACCUUCUUGGCAGGAAGGCUUACUCCUCAGCCAUGCUCCAGAUGCACACUGCCAACUACUGGCCCCGUUGGCAAAUAUGGCUUUCUGAUAUUUAACAGUGUCCCCAUUAUUGGAAAAAUUGCCUCAGGAUGCCAGGUUGGGUCUGAAUAAAAAUAUUUGAAGCCCUGCUAUGACAUUUGACACCUCCUAUCAGCCUCUUUGGAGACUGAGGGGAUGGAUGCUGCAAAGAGACAGAGUUUUUGCUAGUUCUAAGAUACUUUUAUUAACAGGCCUGGCUUUUCUGCACCAUUGCUUGGGUUGCAGGAUGUCAAACCACCUAUAAGUUUUGUCCUGGACUAGGUGAAGCUCUAUAUCCAGAGUUUCAGCACUUCUACCAAGCAGAUCCUAAAACAACUUGAAAUAAUCUGGAACAAAUACUGGGUCAGGGGUGAUAGUCUCAUCCAGAGAGGAUGACAAGUAUGGAGGAGCUAAUGGAUGGUUUGAAUUUGCCUCUGGUUCCUCCUGAUUUUCCUCUUCUUGUGCCUCAUGCUGUUCAUACCUAGUCAGUGUGUUAGUUGGCGGCCAUGGAUCA